UAAGUUGGCCAGGCAAUCGCUCUUAAUUUUGGAUUAAGAGAGGAAAGUCCGGGCUCCAUAGGGCAAAGUGCCAGAUAAUUCCUGGGAGGCGUGAGCCUACGGAAAGUGCCGCAGAAAAUAAACCGCCAACCUCUCCUGAGGUUGGUAAGGGUGAAAAGGUGCGGUAAGAGCGCACCGCGUGUACUGGCAACAGUCAUGGCAUGGCAAACCCCACUUGGAGCAAGACCAAAUAGGAAUUCUUCCGGUUCUAAAAAGCUGGAGAGCAUGGUCCGUGCUGAAUUCGGGUAGGUCGCUUGAGGCCUGCGGUGACGCAGGUCCUAGAUGAAUGAUUGUUCACGACAGAACCCGGCUUAUCGGCCAACUUAUCUU
rnacentral:RNase_P_RNA from 2 species